rnacentral:rRNA from 1 species
UCCUACGGGAGGCAGCAGUAGGGAAUCUUCCGCAAUGGACGAAAGUCUGACGGAGCAACGCCGCGUGAGUGAUGAAGGCUUUCGGGUCGUAAAACUCUGUUGUUAGGGAAGAACAAGUGCUAGUUGAAUAAGCUGGCACCUUGACGGUACCUAACCAGAAAGCCACGGCUAACUACGUGCCAGCAGCCGCGGUAAUACGUAGGUGGCAAGCGUUAUCCGGAAUUAUUGGGCGUAAAGCGCGCGCAGGUGGUUUCUUAAGUCUGAUGUGAAAGCCCACGGCUCAACCGUGGAGGGUCAUUGGAAACUGGGAGACUUGAGAGCAGAAGAGGAAAGUGGAAUUCCAUGUGUAGCGGUGAAAUGCGUAGAGAUAUGGAGGAACACCAGUGGCGAAGGCGACUUUCUGGUCUGUAACUGACACUGAGGCGCGAAAGCGUGGGGAGCAAACAGGAUUGGAUACCCUGGUAGUCCACGCCGUAAACGAUGAGUGCUAAGUGUUAGAGGGUUUCCGCCCUUUAGUGCUGAAGUUAACGCAUUAAGCACUCCGCCUGGGGAGUACGGCCGCAAGGCUGAAACUCAAAGGAAUUGACGGA